rnacentral:rRNA from 1 species
CUCACCAGGUCAGGACACGGUAAGGAUUGACGGACUGAAGGCUCUUUCUCGAUUCCGUGGAAAGUGGUGCAUGGCCGUUUUGGUUGGUGGAUCGAUCCGUCUGGUUAAUUCCGUUAACGAACGAGACCUCGGCACUCCGAAUAGCGCGGCGGACGUCGCGGCCUCCGGGCCGUCUUCCGCACGAGCUUCUUAGAGGGACCGUCCCCCGCCGGGGAAGGAGGUGCGAGGCAACGACAGGUCUGUGAUGCCCUUAGAUGUUCUGGGCCGCACGCGCAUUACACUGACGCGUCCAACGGGUGACUCCCGACCCGAAGGGGCCGGGGAAUCCGCAAGGCGCGUCGUGAUGGGGAUUGAACGUUGCAAUUGUUGUUCACGAACGAGGAAUUCCUAGUAGGCGCGGGUCAUCAACCCGCGCCGAUUACGUCCCUGCCCUUUGUACACACCGCCCGUCGCUCCUACCGAUCGAACGGUCCGGUGAGGACCCCAGGACCGGCGCGGGGACCCGAGGGGCCGAAAGGCUCCGCGACCCGUGUCGGAAUCCGUCCGAACCUUACCGUUUAGAGGAAGGAGAAGUCGUAACAA